AUACACGACCGUACCGCAAACCGACACUGGUGCGCGAGAUGAGUAUUCUGAGGCGCUUGAGAGAACUCAGGAGAAGGAACUCGGCAAAUUGACACCGUAACUUCGGAAGAAGGUGUGCCUUUAGUAGGUGAACCAUUUACUUGGGGAGCCCAAUGAGGCUGCAAAAAAUCGGUGGCUGCAACUGUUUAUUAAAAACACAGCACUCUGCUAAGACGAAAGUCGACGUAUAGGGUGUGACGCCUGCCCGGUGCUGGAAGAUUAAAUGAUGGGGUGCAAGCUCUUGAUUGAAGUCCCAGUAAACGGCGGCCGUAACGAUAACGGUCCUAAGGUAGCGAAAUUCCUUGUCGGGUAAGUUCCGACCUGCACGAAUGGCGUAAUGAUGGCCACACUGUCUCCUCCUGAGACUCAGCGAAGUUGAAAUGUUUGUGAUGAUGCAAUCUCCCCGCGGAAAGACGGAAAGACCCCAUGAACCUUUACUGUAGCUUUGUAUUGGACUUUGAACAGAUCUGUGUAGGAUAGGUGGGAGGCUUUGAAGUGUGGUCGCUAGAUCGCAUGGAGCCAACGUUGAAAUACCACCCUGGUGUGUUUGAGGUUCUAACCUAGGUCCAUUAUCUGGAUCGGGGACAGUGCAUGGUAGGCAGUUUGACUGGGGCGGUCUCCUCCCAAAGUGUAACGGAGGAGUUCGAAGGUACGCUAGGUACGGUCGGACAUCGUGCUAAUAGUGCAAUGGCAUAAGCGUGCUUAACUGCGAGACUGACAAGUCGAGCAGAUGCGAAAGCAGGACAUAGUGAUCCGGUGGUUCUGUAUGGAAGGGCCAUCGCUCAACGGAUAAAAGGUACUCUGGGGAUAGCAGGCUGAUACCGCCCAAGAGUUCAUAUCGACGGCGGUGUUUGGCACCUCGAUGUCGGCUCAUCUCAUCCUGGGGCUGUAGCCGGUCCCAAGGGUAUGGCUGUUCGCCAUUUAAAGAGGUACGUGAGCUGGGUUUAAAACGUCGUGAGACAGUUUGGUCCCUAUCUUCCGUGGGCGCUGCAGAUUUGAGGAAGCCUGCUCCUAGUACGAGAGGACCGGAGUGGACGAACCUCUGGUGUAUCGGUUGUCACGCCAGUGGCAUUGCCGAGUAGCUAAGUUCGGAAGAGAUAACCGCUGAAAGCAUCUAAGCGGGAAACUCGUUUCAAGAUUAGAUCUGCCGGGGCCUUGAGCCCCCUAAAGAGUCGUUCAAGACCAGGACGUUGAUAGGUCAGGUGUGGAGGCCAA
rnacentral:rRNA from 1 species